rnacentral:lncRNA from 1 species
UAGUGAACGAAGGGGCUCAAAAUCAACGGCUGAAAAUAAAAAUCUUACAAAAUGUAAUAAUAUGACAUUAAAAUUUUAAAUCAAAGAUAUUGAUCUUGUUUUAUAUAGUAUAAAGAAUUUUCUAUCAAAAUUUCACGUGAUUUGGAUAUUUCUACACCGUUAAACUUGCAAACGGCUCACUACGGCCAUUGAAAUUUGUUGAUUUUGAGCCUAUUCGAUCACUAGGCAAAUGAUAUCGAAAAAUAAUAAAAUUUAUUUUCUAGGUACUCCAAAUACUCUAGAUCAAGUUUAAUGGGACCGAUCGAUGAUUCGAAAGUCGCAACAUCGAAAACGAGCUGGAAGCACGGAAGGUCGGUACUUUAGAAUAUUUCAAGUCUUCAAGAUCACAGUUGUUA